UAUUGGGCGUAAGAGCUCGUAGGCGGUUUGUCGCGUCUGCUGUGAAAUCCCGAGGCUCAACCUCGGGCUUGCAGUGGGUACGGGCAGACUAGAGUGCGGUAGGGGAGAUUGGAAUUCCUGGUGUAGCGGUGGAAUGCGCAGAUAUCAGGAGGAACACCGAUGGCGAAGGCAGAUCUCUGGGCCGUAACUGACGCUGAGGAGCGAAAGCAUGGGGAGCGAACAGGAUUAGAUACCCUGGUAGUCCAUGCCGUAAACGUUGGGCGCUAGAUGUAGGGACCUUUCCACGGUUUCUGUGUCGUAGCUAACGCAUUAAGCGCCCCGCCUGGGGAGUACGGCCGCAAGGCUAAAACUCAAAGGAAUUGACGGGGGCCCGCACAAGCGGCGGAGCAUGCGGAUUAAUUCGAUGCAACGCGAAGAACCUUACCAAGGCUUGACAUACACCGGAAACGGCCAGAGAUGGUCGCCCCCUUGUGGUCGGUGUACAGGUGGUGCAUGGUUGUCGUCAGCUCGUGUCGUGAGAUGUUGGGUUAAGUCCCGCAACGAGCGCAACCCUCGUUCUAUGUUGCCAGCGGGUUAUGCCGGGGACUCAUAGGAGACUGCCGGGGUCAACUCGGAGGAAGGUGGGGAUGACGUCAAAUCAUCAUGCCCCUUAUGUCUUGGGCUUCACGCAUGCUACAAUGGCCGGUACAAAGGGCUGCGAUACCGUAAGGUGGAGCGAAUCCCAAAAAGCCGGUCUCAGUUCGGAUUGAGGUCUGCAACUCGACCUCAUGAAGUCGGAGUCGCUAGUAAUCGCAGAUCAGCAACGCUGCGGUGAAUACGUUCCCGGGCCUUGUACACACCGCCCGUCAAGUCAUGAAAGUCGGUAACACCCGAAGCCGGUGGCCUAACCCUUGUGGAAGGAGCCGUCGAAGUGGGAUCG
rnacentral:rRNA from 2 species